rnacentral:lncRNA from 1 species
GCCUUGUGGUCCUUAGGUGUCAAUAAGCAUUAAGGUGUUAUACAUUUGUUGUAAUACAUUAAAAUUGUCUCAUCCAUUGUGGUCCUCAAGUGUCAAUAAGAUGUUAUACAUUUGUCGUAAUACAUUAAAAUUGUCUCAUCCGUUGUGGUCCUCAAGUGUCAAUAAGAUGUUAUUAUUUUGUCGUAAUAUAUUAAAAUUGUCUCAUCCUUUGUGGUCCUCGAGUGUCAAUAAGAUGUUAUACAUUUGUUGUAAU